rnacentral:sRNA from 1 species
AUAUAAACCUGAUUGAAGAGAAAGCCCACAGCGCAGCGAGGACUUGAAACGGAAAGCAGGACUGACU